UACGUAGGGUGCAAGCGUUAAUCGGAAUUACUGGGCGUAAAGCGUGCGCAGGCGGUUAUGUAAGACAGAGGUGAAAUCCCCGGGCUCAACCUGGGAACUGCCUUUGUGACUGCAUAGCUAGAGUACGGCAGAGGGGGAUGGAAUUCCGCGUGUAGCAGUGAAAUGCGUAGAUAUGCGGAGGAACACCGAUGGCGAAGGCACUCCCCUGGGCCUGUACUGACGCUCAUGCACGAAAGCGUGGGGAGCAAACAGG
rnacentral:rRNA from 1 species